rnacentral:rRNA from 1 species
AGAGUUUGAUCCUGGCUCAGCGCGAACGCUGGCGGCAUGGCUAAAACAUGCAAGUCGAACGCGAAUCCACCUUCGGGUGGUAGUAGAGUGGCGAACGGGCGAGUAACGCGUUUCUAACGUACCCCAAGGUCAGGGAUAGCUCACCGAAAGGUGUGGUAAUACCUGAUAACCCCAUCGAGUCGCAUGGCAUGAUGGGCAAAGGCUUGCUGCCCUGGGAUCGGGAAACGUAGUAUCAGGUUGUUGGUGGGGUAAUGGCCUACCAAGCCGAAGACGCUUAGCGGGUGUGAGAGCAUGACCCGCCGCAUCGGAACUGAGACACUGUCCGGACUCCUACGGGAGGCUGCAGUAACGAAUCUUCCGCAAUGUACGAAAGUAUGACGGAGCAAUGCCGCGUGCAGGAUGAAGCUCUUCGGAGUGUAAACUGCUGUCAGGGUUCAGGAAUCAAUGACCAGACCCAAAGGAAGGGCCGGCUAACUUCGUGCCAGCAGCCGCGGUAAUACGAAGGGCCCGAGCGUUGCGCGGAUUCAUUGGGCUUAAAGCGUACGUAGGCGGACUCGUAAGUGCCUUGUGAAAGCCCACGGCUCAACCGUGGAAUUGCAGGGCAUACUGCGGGUCUUGAGGCCGGUAGGGGUUGCCAGAACUCUAGGUGUAGCGGUGAAAUGCGUAGAUAUCUAGAGGAAUGCCGAUGGUGAAGACGGGCAACUGGGCCGGUACUGACGCUGAGGUACGAAAGCGUGGGGAGCAAACAGGAUUAGAUACCCUGGUAGUCCACGCCGUAAACGAUGUGCACUAGGUCCUGGAGGUUCUGACGCCAUCAGGGCCGAAGUAAAAACGAUAAGUGCACCGCCUGGGGAGUACGGUCGCAAGGCUAAAACUCAAAGGAAUUGACGGGGGCUCACACAAGCGGUGGAGCAUGUGGCUUAAUUCGAAGCAACGCGAAGAACCUUAUCCUGGGUUUGACAUGUAUGGAUUAACUCUGUGAAAGCAGAGCCACACUCUUUGAGUGGAACAUACACAGGUGCUGCAUGGCUGUCGUCAGCUCGUGCUGUGAAGUGUUGGGUUAAGUCCCUUAACGAGCGAAACCCUUAUCGUUAGUUGCCAUCAGGUUAUGCUGGGGACUCUAACGAGACUGCCGGUGUCAAACCGGAGGAAGGUGGGGAUGACGUCAAGUCCUCAUGGCCUUUAUGCCCAGGGCUGCACACGUGCUACAAUGGCGCGUACAAACCGAAGCGAUACCGCAAGGUGGAGCAAAUCGGAAAAAACGCGCCCCAGUUCGGAUUGUGGUCUGCAACUCGACCACAUGAAGUUGGAAUCGCUAGUAAUCGCGUAUCAGCUACGACGCGGUGAAUACGUUCCUGAGCCUUGUACACACCGCCCGUCAAGUCAUGGAAGCCGGGAGUACCCGAAGUCGUGCCGAUUCAGGCAUGCCUACGGUAAGCUCGGUGACUGGGACUAAGUCGUAACAAGGUAACC